UCGUUUCGAUCUAUACCAAACAAUUUCUUUUCAUCAAAAUUUCCCUGCUUAUGAAUUUCUUAAACUUGGCCCCUGCCAAUAUCAUUCUCGCGGGUACCUUUGUCAAGGUAUCCCACUGAGACCGCCAAGGCUGUUCAAUGACUCAUACCCAUAAACAUGUUUUCACAUCUAACACACAGCCGUUCCUUGGCGUUGGUUGAGUCUCACUCUCACGUGGUGGCCCGAACGUGAGGUGCACUCAAAUCAUACCUCAGGAGAUACUUCACCCAACAUCUCCCCCCGGAGGUUAGUAUAUAAUUGAGUUACGGUGCCCCUCUCAUAGGCAGUCCACGGAAA
rnacentral:lncRNA from 1 species